GCCGGAGUGGUGGAACAGGCAGACGCGCUGGACUCAAAAUCCAGUGAGGGCAACCUCGUGCGAGUUCGAUUCUCGCCUCCGGCA
rnacentral:tRNA from 1 species